UAACCUCAAACUGUCAUAAUAAUGGUCCU
rnacentral:sRNA from 1 species